rnacentral:misc_RNA from 1 species
UAUUCCUCUUAUAUGUCUGUGGAUUCACUGCUUCACUCUUGACAAGUGACAUUAAUGAUAUUAAGUUAUUACUUCUAUCUUUCCUUUAAAUAUUUAUUCUACUCUAUGAUCUUCUACGACCUGUGUCUACGACUUACACGAUCUCGCAUUAUCCUAAAUUAGUUACAAUUAAUAGUUGAUUAAAAAAUACUAUCAAUACCAUUAUAUUAAUGUAAAGUGAAAAAUACUAUAUUUUAUUACACUUCAUAAUGACUUUUAUACCUAAUUGGGAAGAAUUUGAAAAGUCAGCAGAGAUGUUAUACUUAAGAGAUCCUUUAAAUACACGUUAUAGCAUUAAAUACUCUCAUUCUAAAGGAGUAUUUUUAGUUAAAAUAACCGAUAACAAAAAGUGUCUUCAAUACAAAACAGAGGUUCAACAGGAUGUCAGAAAAAUUGAUAAUUUUAUAUCGAAUUUAAUAAGACAUAUGGCUUCAAAUGAUAACUAACCUAGUUAAAUAAAAUAAUAUUUAUAGCAGUGUCUUUUUCUUUGUAAAUCAUUAUAUUUUUUAUUAUUUUAGAUUGAAAAAUAUGAAGCUACAACAAAACAAGAAAACAAACAAAUAAACAAACAAAACUCUUCAACUUUAUAGUAUUAGUAUAGAUUCUCAAUGAAAUUUUUUUCUUGUUUGCUAUGUUUCAGAAGUUUCACUUCUGCCGUGUGAUGCACACACUUUUUGUUAAAUGCAGGCAAUGAAUUUAACAGCUGAGUUUCUUCCUGAUUCUUGUCUGCAAAAAUCAGUCUUCCGAG